ACACUUGAAAUGUAUAUAAGAAAUACUCAAGUUAAUAAAAAAAAAAAUAGCUAUUGUUAGUAUUCCCUCCCCAUCUAGACACCCCAACACUCACACUGAUUUGUCUCCACACUGAUCACUUAUACCUUCCAGCCCAACUUCUCUCUCUGGCCCCAUUAUGUCUUUGGACUUCUGCAGUUCCUCCAAACUGGCCUAUGUACUUCCAGCCUCUCUCCCUGGAGCUGGAGGAUGAUCUUUGCAUGCUAUGCUUGACUAUGUGCUUCUGCUGUCAAAGGUACUUCAGUAUCCCAGGAUAAAGUCCACAUUCCUGGCAGUUAUAGACCAGGACCCCCAACUUCCCAAGAAGCUCUCUGCUCUCUGCACUAGUACCCAACCAUUCAGCUAAUCCUGACUUCCUCUCUUCUAAAACUAUCUGUCUUAAUCAUUUGCAGUCCUCCAACAAAAUAAUGCUGGCAUCGUCUUGUAGAUUAGAUCUAGAGUGUCUUCUAAGUGCUCACUUAGUCAAGGCUUGGUCUCCACCAUAGCACUACUGGGAUGCAGUGGAAGUUUUGGACGAUGAGGCAUGGUAGGAGGAAUUCAUGUUAUUUCAGGUGUGCUUCUAAAGAGAGACUGAAGAAUCCCAGCAGUCUCCUCCUCCCCUUUCUCCUCUGUGCUUCCUAGACAUGAGGCAACAGUUUGCAUCACCUACCAUGCUCCUACCAUGAUAUAUGUCCUUGCCAAAGAAUCUAAAGCCAACAGGGUCAAUAAAUCAUUGCCCGAAACUUCCAAAACCAUGAGACAAGUUUCAAAGUAACCACAGACGAGACAGUCAGAAGAAACUUAGGUCAUCUCACACUGAGCCACAGUCCAGCCACUCCGAGAAGGCCUGCUGAGAAUACUAGCCAACUGUUGGUUCACGAGAUUUUCUUGGACCAAGAAAGGCAUCUGCACCAAAGCCUGAGAGACAGCAACACCCAGCUCCAUCUGCUUCCCAGACCAAGGCAUUUUCUCCAUCACAUGGAAAGAAAAUCAGUGAAGGGCUAGCCUCUCCCAGCUGGCCUCUGCCCCAUGUCCACAGACACAAUCACUUCACAUAGCCUUCCAGAGCACUGCUUGUUUUGUAGACAAACUUUGAACUCAACCUUUUAUUGAUGAAUAAUCAAUAGCUUUCAAUUUGGUCCAAGAAGUCAAAUGUAUUAAUGAUUGGCUGACAGUAUUAUCUUUCCUAAUUUCCAUUACCCUGAAAAGCUAUAGCGAAUACCCAGGCUGGUCAGUGUGAUAAUUAGAUGUGUGUUGAAUUGUAUCAUUGAUCAGAGACUUCCCAGGCAAGUUCUCUUACAAGAUUCCACCCCUGAGACCUUAUAAGAGCCAGAGGUGGUGGAUAACUACAAGGAGAUUAUCUUUUCCAGGCACGAUAGGCCCGCUGGAUAUAUGAAGUACACGACUGACAGUAUGCACAAGACCCGUGUCAGCUCAGGCCAGGUAAACCCCAGCAUGGAGCAGUGGGAGGGGCCCACAGAGUCUCAUCUCUUGCUGAGGAGCUACUGGCCAUCGAUAGCUUCUAAAAGAAGAAGAGUCUGUUUCUGUUCUUGUUUUUAAGAGUGUAACCCCCUAGUAGGUCAACCACUCUCCAGGGCAGACCCACACCCAAUAGUAUUUGAGUAAACAAACUGGAUCUAUCAA